GUUUAAAGUUCUGCAGCGUCUGCCCUAGAUCUUUCCAGAGAAAGGCUUGCUAAGCAAGAGCAGAAUGAUCACAUCAUUCACACUUGAACUCAACGCGAUGAGCACAUCUGUUUGUCCUCAUUAAGUGCAGCGUAGCGGGCGCUAACCGACGUGCACAGGCAGCGGGCUGGGGCAGGGCCAGGGAGCCAGGAACAGGGCAGGAGAGCUGAGCUCUGCCCGCAGCCGCCCAAGAGGAGCUCUGCAGCCUGGGGAGAUCAGCUGCCUGCCUCUCUGAGACCACUGUAAACUGCAAGUUCCAAGAGGGCAAGGAUGCCUUGUUUAUGCCCAGAAUCUACCACAUACGUACACUCCAUAACUAUUUGUGGAAAGAGUGAAUGAAGUUAUCCAUCAAGUUGAGACUGGGUGAUUUAAAAACAGCCAGCAGGGGGUACAGCUGCCAAUAGCCCAAGAUCAUCCAAACGAAAGAGAGAGCCUCUGUCUAUCUUACAUUUGGAGAAAUCUGGGAAAGGAUUCAAACUGGUCAGGUAAACAUUUUCUCUCCUGAAGAGUCUUGUGGUCAAGAGAAUAAAAAGUCUUCCUUGUUGGGGCUGGCCCCGUGGCCGAGUGGUUAAGUUCGCGCGCUCCGCUGCAGGCGGCCCAGUGUUUCGUUGGUUCGAAUCCUGGGCGCGGACAUGGCACUGCUCAUCAGACCACGCUGAGGCAGCGUCCCACAUGCCACAACUAGAAGAACCCACAACGAAGAAUACACAACUAUGUACCGGGGGGCUUUGGGGAG
rnacentral:lncRNA from 1 species